UUGAAACCAGAGUUUGGGAACCACUGCCCUAAAACUUAGGUGUCCCCCAUUGUCCUAUAAAAAUGUCAGGUUGGAUUUAUAUGUAAGAUUAAAAUAAAAGCGGUCACAAAGUAUAACAUUUCGGUAACGCGGGUGUAAUAGCCGCUCUUCAGCGGUCUCUUGGUCAUUAUUAGGGCGGCUUUACCCCUAUAUUAUAGUUUCUUUUUUUAACCAAUAUCACUGAAAGCACAAAUCAUGGAGAAGCGUAUUAGAGAUUGAUGUCGUGGAGACACAGUUACACCCUUUACAUGCCAUGGCCCGGCCACUGUGAUGUCAAAAAUUCAUCAAUGAAUUGUGAUGUCAUAAGUCUUCAUGCUUCCAGCUGCUUCCAGGCUGCAACAGGCCAUUACCUCCCGGAACAGCUAGAAGAACAGACUUGUCGUGCUCAACAAUGUCAGGAAUAAUGAACAUAAUGAUCAGAUGUGCCAGGAGAUUAGAUGAUGGCCUGACCAUCAUUGAAAAUAACAUUCUUAGAGUUGUGGACGUCUAUGAGCUGGCAAGAAAAGCGCGGAGGCCAAGGCAGAGGGCAUCUAAAAAGAACACGAUGUCCUGGGAUUCGAAUGUCCCUUAUGGAAAACUCCGAUAGACAUCUAGGAGUAUGGGUGUGACCUCUGCGCUGGUGUGGGUAUUAGUAUAAAAUCAAUGUAAGCUGCUGCCUAAUCCAUGUAGAGUCAAUGGGGGGUAAUGGUGAUGUCAGCUGUGAUCACGCAGUAAUCCUCUUGUCUCUAGGAGAGUGUGGCAGACU